rnacentral:rRNA from 1 species
AGCAGCCGCGGUAAUUCCAGCUCCAAUAGCGUAUAUUAAAGUUGCUGCAGUUAAAAAGCUCGUAGUUGAAUUUCGGGACUAAUAUGUCGGUCGUGCCUCGGUACGUACUGGCUUAUUGGUUUCUCCUUUCUGAAGAACCAUGAUGUCAUUUAUUUGGUGUCGUGGGGAAUCAGGACUGUUACUUUGAAAAAUUAGAGUGUUUAAAGCAGGCUCACGCUUGAAUACAUUAGCAUGGAAUAAUGAAAUAGGACGUUUGAUUCUAUUUUGUUGGUUUCUAGGAUCGACGUAAUGAUUAAUAGGGAUAGUUGGGGGCAUUAGUAUUCAAUUGUCAGAGGUGAAAUUCUUGGAUUUAUUGAAGACUAACUACUGCGAAAGCAUUUGCCAAGGAUG